rnacentral:tRNA from 1 species
GCCCGGGUGGUGAAAUGGUAGACACAAGGGACUUAAAAUCCCUCGGACAUUACGUCCGUGCCGGUUCAAGUCCGGCCCCGGGCA